rnacentral:rRNA from 1 species
AGCAGUAGCCGCGGUAAUACGAAGGGGGCCAGCGUUGCUCGGAAUGACUGGGCGUAAAGGGCGCGUAGGCGGAUUGUUUAGUUAGGCGUGAAAUUCCUGGGCUUAACCUGGGGACUGCGCUUAAUACAGGCAGUCUAGAGUGAGGAAGAGGGUUGUGGAAUUCCCAGUGUAGAGGUGAAAUUCGUAGAUAUUGGGAAGAACACCGGUGGCGAAGGCGGCAACCUGGUCCUUGACUGACGCUGAGGCGCGAAAGCGUGGGGAGCAAACAGGAUUAGAUACCCCUGUAGUCCCUGUCUCUUAUAC